UACGUAGGGGGCAAGCGUUACCCGGAUUUACUGGGUGUAAAGGGAGCGUAGACGGUAAUGUAAGUCUGAUGUGAAAGCCCGGGGCUCAACCCCGGGACUGCAUUGGAAACUAUGUAACUAGAGUACCGGAGAGGUAAGCGGAAUUCCUAGUGUAGCGGUGAAAUGCGUAGAUAUUAGGAGGAACACCAGUGGCGAAGGCGGCUUACUGGACGGAAACUGACGUUGAGGCUCGAAAGCGUGGGGAGCAAACAGG
rnacentral:rRNA from 1 species